CUUUAAAUUAGCUAUGUGAUCCUGUCCACAAGCUCUUAACAUUAUUACUUUGUAGUAGUAACCUUUGUUAGAGUAGCAGCAUCAUUCAUCAUAUAUAAUGAGUGUGCUUGGUAGAUUGAAAAGAAGGUGACAUUGUGGCAAGCUAAAAAGUUUAUAUACCACGGUAUGUACUCUAUGAUAGCAGUACCAAAAAGUUUGUUUUGCUUUUCU